CUUGCCAAGGCUGCCGUUGCUCUUGGGACCAGCUGAAUACAACGGGCACCCCACCCCAGCGCUGGUGAUCAGAGGCCUCUGAGCAGAUCUUCAGCUGAUUCUUCCUCAUCACCAGCAACAGAAGAGCCCUGGAAUUCUGGCCAAGCUGGUGGACGACGGAGCUGAGCAAGGCAGUACCCCAGCCAUCAUGAGCCUGGGAGAACCAGAGGGGAAGAGAAAGGGCUAAGUCUGAGAGGAAGCAAGAACCCUUGGAUUCUUGGAGAUACCUGGUCGAGGCAGAUUAUGAGUUCACUGUCAUCUCCAAGCCAAAGGGAGCCAACCUUGGAAGCUCCCUGCUCUGACCUUUUGCUGGCUGAAGGCCGAAUGCUAAGACUGACCUCAAGAUGAGGCAGCAGUCUGUAUGCUGAUCUCUGCUCCAGUGUCAAUGCACAGGCCUCUCCAGGAAUGAGAGUCUACAUUUACAACUUGAUGACACCUGACGCCUAGAGAGCAAAGCUCAAGGUUAUCAUGUGGCAUCAUGGACAAGCUGCAAUGCCAGUUCUCCCUGGUUGACUACAGUGGCUCCAUGUUCUUCCUGGUCAUCUCUGUGUUGAGCUCUACUUACAACAUUCCCCAGUUCCAGCCCCAGGAAGGAAACAGUUUUCUAUGUGGCUAAUAUGGGCUCCCUACCUCUCUGUCAUCAGACAGAAUUGAGUCCACCAAUUAAAUCCAUCUGCUUGAAA
rnacentral:lncRNA from 1 species